GGGGAAGUGGCCUCUCUGUCCGGUGUGUGUGUGUGUGUGUGUGUGACCUUACUCUACCAAGAGAUAAUAAGUCACUACCAAAACUACUACUGUGAAUACAACUGCCUGUGUUGCGAGACCAGUACACACACACACACACACACACACACACACACACACUUUUCUUUCCUACACACGCAUGCAAGUAUAUAGGAAAUGAAUGCUUACGUGUGUGUGUGUGUGUGUGUGUGUGUGUGUGUGUGUGUGUGUGUGUCUAAGGACCCACAUUCGCAAAAACUUCUACAUAUGAUUAAAGUUCAUGAGGUUUUUCAAACGUGCUUAUUGUCAUUCUAGUGAUAAUUUGAUCGUUAUUCCGCAUCACCAACUGGGAAAAAUACCAUGAGGAUCAGAAUGCUGAGUGACCUUAAAAUACAAUCGUCGAGCGAGUACAGCGUCUCAGAUCACGGUACAGAGCGAAGGCACUGUGACAACUCUGAAGGAAAUCCCCGAGGAAGCUUACAGCGAUACAUGGAAUGAGAUACAGAGAAACCUAACGCGCAACAAGGCUCAAAUAUGCUAAAAACUAUUACGUUCAAGAUUAACUCCUUCAGUGCUAUGACGUGUUUUCAUAUUCAUUUUAGUUAUUUCUUAUUUAGUGACUAUAUACAGCUUCAGAAACUUAUGUGGGGGAUUAAAAGAGUGACGACUGUGGCCAUUAAUUAAUCUUCCGACCUGCAUAGAACUUUCCUAAUGUAAAUAAAGUCGUCCAAUCAUACCCAACUCAAGGUAAAAAAGGCAUCCCAGUACUGAAGGGGUUAAUGAGCAAAAAAGAUGUUUCUUUAUUUAUUUGUUUAUUUUUUUUUUUUAGAUAUGUUCAGACGUAGCAAAAAAGGAUUAUAGGUCAGUCACGCACCGGCAAAAUGAAGAUGCUGACAUGUCUGGUGCUGCUAAUGUGUGCUAAUCUUGCUAUACUGUUCACAGACGUCCCUUCUCAAACGUUGUGUGGAAUGAAAUUCGCUGGGAAAUAAGUAGACAAGCAAUUCAGUAAGUUUAAAUGAAUAACAACAAUGACACAACCACCAACAACAAAAGUGAUAAUGAGAGAUGUGUUCAUGUAAAAAUCUGAGCACAAUAUCUGAGCAUAAUGGAGGUGAACACUCGCGAAUCCUGUUAAUAAUAGUGGUUAUCCUUUCACCAAUAUCCAAAGAUGAAGAGAAUGGAUAACAUGGACACUAGCACUUGUUAUUCUCGCAUACACGUGUUCUUCAACCUCUCUUCAUUAAGUUCAUGCAUCUUCAGUAAAAUUCCGAUAAAUUCAUGUAUUCUGAUGCUUAUGAUGAUUAAUUACAAAGAAAAUACAUGAAUAUUCCACGUUUUCCUCAGGUUUUAAGACUGAAAACAUAUAUAAAAAGUAUUAAAUCUAUUUCAUUGUACCUGAACACACAGAACAACGAAAACAAGACGCUAAACAUGAGUUGUGGCUGCCUUGUACGCGUGUUCCCGUAUCAGAGGGGUUUCCUGAUGUGGCUGUGAGAAUCUUGCCUCCUGCCACUGCAUAUCAAUGUUAUCACACAAAAAUCAUGUCUUGCUGUUGCCUUUGACGUGCUUCAGAACUCGAGUAAAACAUUGACAUCAGAGAAGUGAGGGUAGUAUUUGAAGGGGAGGCGUGUAUGGGCCUGGACAAGUCUGGCCACACAGCCACGUCCAGCCAGCGGUGCAGGGACGUGUGGCUGUAGUCGCUGUACCCUCACGUGGGCCUCCUCUCACUUCCCAAAGCAAGUGAUAAGGAGUCCCUGCACCUGGCGCCUCACACGCUUUAUCCGGACCACCAUGCCUAAACCUCUCUCUCUCUCUCUCUCUCUCUCUCUCUCUCUCUCUCUCUCUCUCUCAUUUGGUGGAGUGGUGUCCGCCUUUCCUAAGUUCUUGAUCUAAUGUUGCAGCUCUUCAUCUCAGUGUUCGCGGGUCACCGCUUUGCUGUUAAUUCUUAAUGCGCGGCACAACACACCCACCCAGACAACAUUUUCAUCGCCGCUGCCCGCAUCAAUCGCUUUGGGGGACCUUCAUAAUUCACUAAAUUUGUUAGUAUUAGUGUCUAGAGACAGCUCUUUAUUCGCUGACAUCCAAUACGGUGAAGUUGCGGCGCGUAUCUGAUGGUGCGCGAGUUCAGCAAGUCUAGCUUUACCAUUCGUGCAGCAGCAGCAGCAGCAGCCUCCAGAGAAACGCCGCGUCAGAGCGACACCAAGCGAAUCAGCGUGAACCACUGAACGAUGCAGCACACGCCUGCAGCAGCCGCAGCAGCCGUGCAUCGUGGAACGCGGGCUUGCUGCACCAUAACCUCCCGUGACAUCAUGACACUCAACCCAUUCCAGAAAAAAAAAAAAAAAAAGCUGCGACCUCAAGCUUUUUACCAGCAACGUGUAAGCGGCUUAACGCCCGAGACUUCAUCAACAAGGACGAGAGUGUACCAUCGGAGGCAGCGAGUCCAGCGUCAGAAGAUGGACGGUGUUAUUUGUUGUGAGCUAGACUGAUUAUAGUCUCGAUCACUUUUAGAAUGCACAAUGCAACAUAUUCUUGCCCCUUGUUUUUGAAUACAUGCAUAUAACCUGGCUAUCUUCACUUGUUUACCUAGUGCAUGCAAAUGCGAAAAUAAAUCGAAUAUUUUUUUAGUGCAAA